rnacentral:lncRNA from 1 species
AAUGUGACUGGCAGAACGCGUGUUGCAUGUGGAGGAUAAAUGCUGCAGUAGAUAUCUCAGAUAGGGGGAUUGAGGUUGCAAUAUUGGGAUGCACAACUAUUUGUAAGUGGAUUUAGGCUAUAUUUAUAAACCAUGAACGUUAUCAAACUAUACUGUUCUUCAAUUUUGGGUAAAGACCACCACCUAGUGUAAUUUUGAUAAAACAGUUUAGGCUAUAGUAAUUAUCCGACAGUGACGGGUUUGGGGCGUUGCCUUUAUAUUACUGGGACCAAUCGGAGAUCUGGCAGAAACUUUGUAAACAAGUAUUGCACGUUGUGUGAAAAACAUUUUCUUUUAUCAUUACAAAGAGAUUUAUCGUUGGAAAAAACGCAGGACUUGAAGACUUCACUAAGGUAGAGAUACCUCGUGAAGAAACUGCUAUAUGAGCAUCUGAGCGUCUCAGGAAUGGUCUUGGCUGGGCAUGGCUCAUCUCAGGUAAGACUUUAGCUACCAUGGUUUACUUUGUACAUGUGAGCUGCUGUUUUCACAUGGGAAGGCUACUGAAUUCCCCUCUUUGUUUUCAAUGAAGAAAUUCUACCACAGCAAGAAUACUGUAGAUUUUGCAUGUGUUGUACUGUAAGGAAGGAAUAGAAGACAUUCCCUGUCCCUGCAGAUUCCCUCUGGUGAUUUGAUUAGCAUUUGAGAA